rnacentral:rRNA from 1 species
AACGAACGCUGGCGGCAGGCUUAACACAUGCAAGUCGAACGCCCCGCAAGGGGAGUGGCAGACGGGUGAGUAACGCGUGGGAAUCUACCGAGCCCUGCGGAAUAGCUCCGGGAAACUGGAAUUUAUACCGCAUACGCCCUACGGGGAAAGAUUUAUCGGGUUCGAUGAGCCCGCGUUGGAUUAGCUAGUUGGUGGGUAAA